CAGAUGGGGGCUCAGUCGGGGCCCCUUCCACAGACACAGCCCUGGCCCCUCAAGGUGGAUGGCGAGGCCGCUGCUCCUCCAGCUGCCUCCGUCUCAUCGCAGGCCAGAAGUGGAAAGGGUUUCAAACCCAAGCCUGUGUUCCCGUCUGUGUUCUAUGCAGCAAGGCUUGAAAGUUUCAAGCUGGUUUGGAACUCAACCAGGUCCUCCAAAGGAAACCAAGGCAGGCACAGGAUGGGUGCAGGCUGGCUUGGCAGGCCAAUGUGCCGAUCCACCCAGAGUGCCCUGGGAGGCAGUGGGGUUGGCUCUGGCUCCUGUGAACUGCAGCCAGGCCUCUCCCGGUGCCCAGGGUCCGGAAGGAGGGGCUUGUACAAUGUUAUCACCCGGGGACUGCGAAGGCCUGGAGCCCUACCUUCCACCCAUUAACAGAGAAAGGGAUAGUUUCAGAACUGCUUUUAUUUGGAUAACUGACUGAAGGAGUCUCAUUUGUAACCAAGAUGGAAUUCACAGUAUGUUGUUACAUUCACACUUAAAAAAUGUAUCUCUAUGUACAGGAAUUUGCAAAUAGAUGUAAACAUACAUUACUUUCCAAGUACAUUUCUCCCCUUCUCCUUGGAGGAAAAAAAGCCAUCCAACGAGGCAACCCCUUCAAAAUGAUUUUAAUACAAAGGAUGCAAACAUCUA